ACUCGUAUAAUUUAUGUUUAGAAUAUUGCAUUGAAGCUGCAAAUGAGGUUAAUUUACCUGCGGGUG
rnacentral:tRNA from 1 species